rfam:Rattus norvegicus chromosome 3, whole genome shotgun sequence.
GUAGAGAUGGCUCAGCGAUUAAGAGCACUGACUGCUCUUCCAGAGGUCCUGAGUUCAAUUCCCAGCCACCACA